rnacentral:rRNA from 1 species
AGCGAGCGCGUGAGCGUAAGCAAAACACAGAAAACGCGUCCCAGUUCGGAUUGUAGUCUGNAACCCGACUACAUGAAGCCGGAAUCGCUAGUAAUCGCGGAUCAGAAUGCCGCCGGUGAAUACGUUCCCGGGUCUUGUACACACCGCCCGUCACACCAUGGGAGUCGGAAAUGCCCGAAGCCGGUGACCCAACCGAAAGGAGGGAGCCGUCGAAGGCAGGGCCGGUAACUGGGGUGAAGUCGUAACAAGGUAGC